UCUGCGCCUGCGCGCUGCGGCCGGCUCUAGGACCCGGAUUUAAAGAGACAGGCGCUACAACCGUCGUGGUGGCGUGCGGCCUGUGGGCGCCGAGUGUGAGGCCUGCGGUGUGCGCCUGAGCUGGGAAGGCAGCUGUAUGACUUUGACUUUCAAGAUCCUCUUCCCAUCAGCCCUCCGCGCACUGGGGCGAAAAGAACUGAGCCUGUUCCGAGAGCAAUAUCACUGGCCUGACAGAAGACAAUUCAGCCAUUGGUUAGAAACAGAUCUGCUUGAUGGGCCCUGCCUCCUGCAGAGAAGAAAGCCUGCUCUGUCAUUCCAGGAAGGCCAUCUAAGACCACGUGCCACCUGCCUUGUUUUCUUGCCAGGGGCGCAUGUGGGACUCUGCAGUGGCCCCUGUGAGAUGGCCGAGCAACGGUUCUGUGUGGACUAUGCCAAGCGUGGCACAGCCGGCUGCAAAAAGUGCAAGGAAAAGAUUGUGAAGGGGGUAUGCAGGAUCGGCAAAGUGGUGCCCAAUCCCUUCUCAGAGUCCGGGGGCGAUAUGAAAGAGUGGUAUCACAUUAAAUGCAUGUUUGAGAAACUGGAGCGGGCUCGGGCCACCACAAAAAAAAUUGAGGACCUCACAGAGCUGGAAGGCUGGGAAGAGCUGGAAGACAAUGAGAAGGAACAGAUAAGCCAGCACAUUGCAGAUCUGUCUUCUAAGGCCACAGGCACACCAAAGAAGAAAGCCGUCGUCCAGGCUAAGCUGACAGCCACUGGCCAGGUGACCUCUCCAGUGAAAGGUGCCUCACUCGUCACCAAUAGCAAUCCCCGGAAAUUUUCUGGUUUUUCAGCCAAGCCCGACAACUCUGGGGCAGCCCGCGCAAGCCCUCCCCCUAAGGCAAGUCUGUCCUCAAGCAGAUGUGACCCCAAGCACAAGGAUUGUCUGCUACGAGAGUUUCGGAAGUUGUGUGCCAUGGUGGCUGAGAAUCCUAGCUACAACACGAAGACCCAGAUCAUCCAGGACUUUCUUCGGAAAGGUUCAGCAGGAGAUGGUUUCCACGGUGAUGUGUACCUAACAGUGAAGUUGCUGCUGCCGGGUGUUAUUAAGAGUGUUUACAACUUGAACGAUAAGCAGAUUGUGAAGCUUUUCAGCCGCAUUUUUAACUGCAACCCAGAUGAUAUGGCACGAGACCUAGAGCAGGGCGACGUGUCAGAGACAAUCAGAGUCUUCUUUGAGCAGAGCAAGUCUUUCCCCCCAGCUGCCAAAAGCCUCCUUACCAUCCAGGAGGUGGACGAGUUCCUCCUUCGGCUCUCCAGGCUCACCAGGGAGGAGGAGCAGCAGCAGGCCCUGCAGGACAUCGCCUCCAGGUGUACAGCCAAUGACCUCAAGUGCAUCAUCAGAUUGAUCAAACAUGAUCUGAAAAUGAACUCGGGUGCAAAGCACGUGUUAGAUGCCCUUGACCCCAAUGCCUAUGAAGCCUUCAAAGCCUCACGCAACCUGCAGGACGUGGUGGAGAGGGUCCUCCGCAAUGAGCAGGAGGUGGAGAAGGAGCCAGGCCGGAGACGAGCUCUGAGCGUCCAGGCUUCCCUGAUGACACCAGUGCAGCCCAUGCUGGCUGAGGCCUGCAAGUCCAUCGAGCACGCGAUGAAGAAGUGUCCUAAUGGCAUGUUUUCUGAGAUCAAGUACGAUGGGGAGCGAGUGCAGGUGCAUAAGAACGGGGACCACUUCAACUACUUCAGCCGCAGCCUCAAGCCUGUCCUGCCUCACAAGGUGGCCCACUUCAAGGACUACAUCCCUCAGGCUUUUCCUGGAGGCCACAGCAUGAUCCUGGACUCCGAGGUGCUCUUGAUCGACACAAAGACAGGCAAACCGCUGCCCUUUGGGACUCUUGGAGUGCACAAGAAAGCUGCCUUCCAGGAUGCUAAUGUUUGCCUGUUUGUUUUUGAUUGUAUCUACUUCAAUGAUGUCAGCCUGAUGGACAGGCCUCUGUGUGAGCGGCGGAAGUUUCUUCAUGAUAACAUGGUUGAAAUUCCCAACCGGAUCAUGUUCUCAGAAAUGAAGCAAGUCACUAAAGCUGCAGACUUGGCUGACAUGAUCAACCGGGUCAUCCGAGAGGGGCUGGAAGGGCUGGUGCUGAAGGAUGUAAAGGGUACAUAUGAGCCUGGAAAGCGGCACUGGCUGAAAGUGAAGAAAGACUAUUUGAACGAGGGGGCCAUGGCUGACACAGCUGACCUGGUGGUCCUUGGGGCCUUCUAUGGGCAAGGGAGCAAAGGUGGCAUGAUGUCCAUCUUUCUCAUGGGCUGCUAUGACCCAAGCAGCCAGAAGUGGUGCACGGUCACCAAGUGUGCAGGGGGCCAUGAUGACGCAACCCUUGCCCGCCUGCAGAAGGAACUGGACAUGGUGAAGAUCAGCAAGGAUCCCAGCAAGAUACCCAGCUGGCUGAAAAUCAACAAGAUCUACUAUCCUGACUUUAUAGUCCCAGACCCAAAGAAAGCUGCCGUGUGGGAGAUAACAGGAGCUGAGUUCUCCAAGUCUGAGGCUCACACUGCCGACGGGAUCUCCAUCCGAUUCCCACGUUGCACCCGCAUCCGUGAUGAUAAGGACUGGAAAUCUGCCACUAACCUCCCCCAGCUCAAGGAACUGUACCAGCUGUCCAAGGAGAGAGCGGACUUUACGGUGGCGGCCGGAGAGGAGGGGAGCUCCACCACAGGGGGCAGCAGCGGAGAGAACCAGGGUACCUUGGGGCCUGCGGCGGCUCACAAGGCCUCCAGGGCCUCCCCGAAGCAGCCCUCCACCAGUGCCAAGAAGGCAGGAGGAAGGCCGAGUAGCCCCAACAGCAGAGGCGGCUGUCUCCCACAGGCCACCAGCGGACUGUGAAAGUGGGGCAGAAGCGGAAGGCUCCUGAUGAGACCGCGUGCCCAGCAAAGAGGCGGCCGGCCAGCCCGCACAGAGGAAGGAGAGCGGUGCCAGCAGGCAGGAGAUAGAACAGCCUGGCCUCACUGAGAGAGGCUGCAGGCACCCAGCGGGCUGCAGGUCCCGAGUCACAGUUUGCAUUAAAGAGAAGGGAGAGAGCCGGUCUGGGUGGAGUGCAGCUGUGUGAGUUUGUGCUCAGGGCCAAAGCAGAACCAGCCCCGCCCCGAGGAGCGGGUCAGGGGCACUGGCCAGGUGACUGGCGUCCUACCUGCAACGCCCUUCCCUUCUUGUCCUCCCCCGUUUGUCUUCGGUCUGAAAACAGCUGUUGAGCUGCUCCUGAACGUGGCAGUUAGGCUUAGCCCUGGGGGAGCUGCUGGCCCACAGGGUACAGAGGUAAACACUGGAUCUCUGUCCGGUGUGAUGGACCCAGCAGUCCUCCUCCCCCUAGCCAAAGCCAGCAUCGGAGAUUGCCAAGUGGAGUCUGCACCCGGUCCCCAGCAGAAGUAGGGAACUUUUCCCAUCUUUUCCCUACCGGAAGCCCCUGCCCCCGUCCACAGCAGAGCAGGGCUCCUAACCCCCACGUCUAGCUGCCUGUGUGCUGCGCACUGCUCCGUCAGCCAGUGUCACGGAGUCUGAGAGCCACUGGCCCUGCCCCUGGGUGGUGGUGCUUGAGUAGACACAUUCUCCUCUUUUCCAGGUCCCCUGUGUGGGGACCCAGCCAUGCUCCCUCCUUUUCCUCUAGACGGAUAGGAUAUGUGCCCUCUGGAGUGGCUGGGGGACUGGGGUUUUGAUACAUGGUCCUUUCCUCCAGUCAGCUCUGAGAUGGCUCCCUCCCAUCUCUGGCUCUGGUUCUCAGACCUUCCUGUCUGCCUGUGCUGCGCUGGGUGGAGCCCCAGCCUGACCGCUGCACAU